UGGGGAAUAUUGCACAAUGGAGGGAACUCUGAUGCAGCGACGCCGCGUGAACGAAGAAGGCUUUCGAGUCGUAAAGUUCUUUUAUAUGGGAAGAUAAUGACGGUACCAUAAGAAGAAGCCCCGGCUAACUACGUGCCAGCAGCCGCGGUAAUACGUAGGGGGCUAGCGUGGUCUGGAAUCACUGGGCGUAAAGGGUUCGCAGGCUGAAAUGCAAGUCAGGUGUAAAAGGCAGUAGCUUAACUACUGUAAGCAUUUGAAACUGCAUAUCUUGAGUAGAGUAGAGGUAAGUGGAAUUUUUGGUGUAGCGGUGAAAUGCGUAGAUAUUAAAAAGAAUACCGGUGGCGAAGGCGACUUCCUGGGCUCAUUCUGACGCUGAGGAACGAAAGCGUGGGUAGCAAACAGG
rnacentral:rRNA from 1 species